rnacentral:rRNA from 1 species
UACAGAGGGUGCGAGCGUUGUCCGGAAUCACUGGGCGUAAAGGGCGCGUAGGUGGCGCGACAAGUCAGUGGUGAAAGCUCGACGCUCAACGUCGAGUCGGCCACUGAUACUGUUGGGCUUGAGCACUGUAGAGGCUAAUGGAAUUCCGGGUGUAGCGGUGGAAUGCGUAGAGAUCCGGAAGAACACCGGUGGCGAAGGCGAUUAGCUGGGCAGUUGCUGACACUGAGGCGCGACAGCGUGGGGAGCAAACAGG